GACGAACGCUGGCGGCGCGCUUAACACAUGCAAGUCGAACGGAAAGGCCUGCUUUCCCUUGUGGAUUGCGGGUACUCGAGUGGCGAACGGGUGAGUAACACGUGAGUGAUCUGCCCCCAACUUGGGUAUAAGCCUGGGAAACUGGGUCUAAUUCCCGAUAGGACUGCAGGGUGGUGCCUGUGGUGGAAAACGAUUUUCUAGUGGUUGGGGAUGAGCUCGCGGCCUAUCAGCUUGUUGGUGGGGUAAUGGCCUACCAAGGCGGCGACGGGUAGCCGGCCUGAGAGGGUGGACGGCCACAUUGGGACUGAGCUACGGCCCAGACUCCUACGGGAGGCAGCAGUGGGGAAUAUUGCACAAUGGGCGGAAGCCUGAUGCAGCGACGCCGCGUGGGGGAUGACGGCCUUCGGGUUGUAAACUCCUUUCGACCGAGAGGAAGCCACCUGGUUGGAAGGGUGGUGACGGUAGUGGUAGAAGAAGCACCGGCUAACUACGUG
rnacentral:rRNA from 1 species